rnacentral:rRNA from 1 species
AGUGAACGCUGGCGGUAGGCCUAACACAUGCAAGUCGAACGGCAGCACAGUAAGAGCUUGCUCUUACGGGUGGCGAGUAGCGGACGGGUGAGGAAUACAUCGGAAUCUACUUUUUCGUGGGGGAUAACGUAGGGAAACUUACGCUAAUACCGCAUACGACCUACGGGUGAAAGCAGGGGAUCUUCGGACCUUGCGCGAUUGAAUGAGCCGAUGUCGGAUUAGCUAGUUGGCGGGGUAAAGGCCCACCAAGGCGACGAUCCGUAGCUGGUCUGAGAGGAUGAUCAGCCACACUGGAACUGAGACACGGUCCAGACUCCUACGGGAGGCAGCAGUGGGGAAUAUUGGACAAUGGGCGCAAGCCUGAUCCAGCCAUACCGCGUGGGUGAAGAAGGCCUUCGGGUUGUAAAGCCCUUUUGUUGGGAAAGAAAAGCAGCAGGUUAAUACCCCGCUGUUCUGACGGGACCCAAAGAAGAAACACCGGCUAACUUCGU